GAUUAACGCUGGCGGCAUGCCUAAUACAUGCAAAUCGAACGAAGCCUUUUAGGCUUAGUGGUGAACGGGUGAGUAACACGUAUCCAAUCUACCCUUAAGUUGGGGAUAACUAGUCGAAAGAUUAGCUAAUACCGAAUAAUAACAUCAAUAUCGCAUGAGAAGAUGUAGAAAGUCGCUCUUUGUGGCGACGCUUUUGGAUGAGGGUGCGACGUAUCAGAUAGUUGGUGAGGUAAUGGCUCACCAAGUCAAUGACGCGUAGCUGUACUGAGAGGUAGAACAGCCACAAUGGGACUGAGACACGGCCCAUACUCCUACGGGAGGCAGCAGUAGGGAAUUUUUCACAAUGGGCGCAAGCCUUAUGAAGCAAUGCCGCGUGAACGAUGAAGGUCUUAUAGAUUGUAAAGUUCUUUUAUAUGGGAAGAAACGCUAAAAUAGGAAAUGAUUUUAGUUUGACUGUACCAUUUGAAUAAGUAUCGGCUAACUAUGUGCCAGCAGCCGCGGUAAUACAUAGGAUGCAAGCGUUAUCCGGAUUUACUGGGCGUAAAACGAGCGCAGGCGGGUUUGUAAGUUUGGUAUUAAAUCUAGAUGCUUAACGUCUAGCUGUAUCAAAAACUGUAAACCUAGAGUGUAGUAGGGAGUUGGGGAACUCCAUGUGGAGCGGUAAAAUGCGUAGAUAUAUGGAAGAACACCGGUGGCGAAGGCGCCAACUUGGACUAUCACUGACGCUUAGGCUCGAAAGUGUGGGGAGCAAAUAGG
rnacentral:rRNA from 1 species